GACGAACGCUGGCGGCGUGCUUAACACAUGCAAGUCGAACGGAAAGGCCCUGCUUUUGUGGGGUGCUCGAGUGGCGAACGGGUGAGUAACACGUGAGUAACCUGCCCUUGACUUUGGGAUAACUUCAGGAAACUGGGGCUAAUACCGGAUAGGAGCUCCUGCUGCAUGGUGGGGGUUGGAAAGUUUCGGCGGUUGGGGAUGGACUCGCGGCUUAUCAGCUUGUUGGUGGGGUAGUGGCUUACCAAGGCUUUGACGGGUAGCCGGCCUGAGAGGGUGACCGGCCACAUUGGGACUGAGAUACGGCCCAGACUCCUACGGGAGGCAGCAGUGUGGAAUAUUGCACAAUGGGCGGAAGCCUGAUGCAGCAACGCCGCGUGCGGGAUGACGGCCUUCGGGUUGUAAACCGCUUUCGCCUGUGACGAAGCGUGAGUGACGGUAAUGGGUACAGAAGCACCGGCUAACUACGUG
rnacentral:rRNA from 1 species